UCUAAGGAUAUCGGCGGAAAGCGCUGGCUCUUGUAGUCAGAAGAGCUUCCUCCAUUCCAAAGAACAUAGGCCGCCGUCCUCAUGUCCCUUCAUCACUGGAAAAUACGCCUUGGCAGCAAGGUGUAUCUGCCUGGCAGGCUUUCGAGCGCCUCGCGCUGCUGUAAAAAGCGGCUUGCAAGGCACCGGGCCGGUAGCUCAGGUGGUUAGAGCGCACGCCUGAUAAGCGUGAGGUCGGAGGUUCAACUCCUCCCCGGCCCACCAGACCGCUUCGCGGUCUGGAGUCUUUGAUUGGUGCUCAAGCGCCGCCGAACGCAUCCGCGUUCUUGGCUAUUCGCCGCAUAAGCGGCGACGGGCGCUAGAAGCGGAUUGGCGGCCUUGCGAAGGCUUCGCCUUCGUUGGUGCAUGCAUCGACGUCAUGGUAACGGGGCCUUAGCUCAGCUGGGAGAGCGGUUGCUUUGCAAGCAUCAGGUCAUCGGUUCGAUCCCGAUAGGCUCCACCAUCCCCUCGAUAUUUCCAGAGAUGAAGAGAAACGGUUUGCCAGCCAAGGGCUGGUGAUAUGGAGCGCAUUGCGCUCCUCUUUGACAUUGUGAAUGGGUUUUUUAAUCGAUGCCGUGGCGACAUGGUUUUCGGUUCCGCGCGAUCUUCGGAUCGGAUGGAAACGGAAGCGAUGAUCGUACGCGAAUGAUUAUCUGGCUGAGUUUAAUAACCGCAUUGUUUCAACGGCAGGAAAAGCACUUGAUCUUCCAGUGUUGUCGUUGGUGGUGCGGACUCUCAAGCGUG
rnacentral:tRNA from 1 species